CUUGGAUUUCUAUGCUACCAAUCGCUGCUUGGAGGGUGUUGACUGCGUUCCAAAUCCAGUGGCUCUACUAGUAAGAGCCUUAUCCCCUUGUUGCUUCUGGAGUGAUUUAUACUCUCUCAAAUAAGAGGUCGAGUUGUAGUACUUAGGGAUCGAAUCCACAGGAAGCUAGGGUACACAAAAGAUCUAAUAGUUAUAUGAUUAAGCUAGGCUAAUAGGUUCAAAGCAGUAAAUAAAGAUAGCAAAGCAGUAAAUGAAGCAGUCAAUGAAGCAGUAAACAAGUUGAACAAGACAAUUGUUCAGCUUGACAGAGAGUUGUUUGAUGGAAGGAUGGUUUCGUAGAGACUAAAGCAUGAUAUUAUAGAACUCAACGAUUAGAAUAACCGAUCAUCUCUCGAUUUGUAGAUUAUCAAUUACUAGAUCCAAGACCUUCAACUCUCGAUGUCGAAUCUUAGAAAGCGUCGAUCGAUGUCUAUAUAGGAGCAUCGACCGAUACACCUUUCGUCGUGUCGAUCGACAUCUCAUUAGGAGAAUCGAUCGACAUGCUUCUAGUAAGCGUUUAGCGCGGGUUGAUUAAAUGUUCACUAGGGGUUCUAAAUCAACUCUCGUUUGUUUCUAUCAAUCCUAGCUCAGAGAAGACAAGUCAGAUAAAAACCCAAGCUUUCGCUUGUGCUUAAUAAAUCUAUGAUAAAGUUCAGGUUAAUUAUUCAAGAACAAGCAAUAAGAACAGACUCAAUGAUGAACACAACUUAGCAAUUCUAUAUUUGGGGCUAAUCACACAUAACCUAUCUAAACCCUAAACCUAACAGGUGGAUCUAUUCAGACACGAAGUUGUCAUAAAAAAUCAUAGAUGAAUAGAUAUAAAAAACAAAGGAGUUCCGGGAGGAAUCUGAAGGAUUUCCUCCUUUCUCUCCUAACCUAAGAGAAACAAUAGAAUAGAAAGCUUAGCCGUCAACAAUGACUUAGAAAACACAUAAAUAUGGUUUUAGGUCGUCCAAGGGUAUUCUGGUAAUUUGUGGUUGCUUAUGGGCUUCAGUCGGUCAUAAAAUAUACUCAGCCCAUAUUCUGGCAUCACUUUCGACCGACACCAAUGCUGUUUCAUCGAUCGACAGUCCUUCAUCUCUUCGAUAGCUUUCUCUCGCGAGGCAGACUGACCACUCUUCAGUAAAACGGGGAUAACUUCUGCUACAGGAUGCCGAUUGACCUCAAACCGGUGGCAUUGGAAAGCUAACUCAAAUCUAUAUCUUGUGUAAAAUGAUGGGCUCAAUCUUAUGGUGGGAAAGUCUCUAUCCAUAGCUAGACAUCUGACGCGUUUGUGCAGUUCUACAUCUUAAAAAGCUCCAAAAUCACCAUAUUUCUCCAGAACGUACCUGAACCUGUAAAUACUCUAAAAAGACUCUAAAACAUAAUAAUUAUAUCUUAAAACACUUAUAUACCAUGGCUGAAACUGGGUAAAAUCCGUGGUAUAUCACGUUACAAGAUGAAUCACGAUUCGUCAUUCAAUGCUCCUUAUCUCCCCUUCCUGGCGGUGGAACUCAAUCUAUAAAAAGGCUUAUGGGUUUCAUGGCCGAGAGUUUCAGUCCUUAACAAAAGAAGCUUUCAUCAUCAUCCUAGAUUCUUAUUAAUGUCAAUCAGUAAGUAAACUUUUCCUUUUUCGUUCUUCCCGUCCACAUGGAAUUUACAUUCGCUCAAUUUUUAAAAUUUUGCAUCUGUGUUUGACGAUUGAAAAUCAGAAUUCGAUUUCAAUUUAUGGAUCUGAAAUCAAGCGCUGGCGAUUGAAAAAUGUUUUAACAUAAAUUCACAAGUGAAGGCUUGGUGACAUUUACGUCCGCAGUUGUGCCUGAUGCUGACAAGUCAAAAACUGGAAGAAGCAGUCUAAUUCUCCUUUUACGAAGCUUCUUUCCGGUAUCCACAUGUGUGUCACUGGUUUCACAUGUUGUUUGCAAUCACAAAGGGUGUGGCUUGGUGUCCUUUAAAUUGAGCUUCUAUGGAGCGAAACAUUGAAUCCUUGAAGGUAAACUGGAACAUCUCUCUCUCUGGCUCUUGCAAGGUGAUGUUAGACUAAUUUGUGUUGUAUGGUAAAACUCCAGAUUAUUUUAUGUAUAGAAGAUAAUGAUCCCACGUUCUUUAUGGACGUGUGUCAAAUACGCAAUUCUUCAUCAUAACAAUACGCCGAGAAAGAAGACUUGGGAAGGAUCCAAAGAAAACAUGUUACGUAAGAAUCAGCGGUCUUGAAGAUAUACAUAGAUGAACAUCCCAUUUUUAUGAAUGUUGAUAUACUCUCUUAUGUGUACAUAAGCUCUAACAGAUGACUUCUCCGAAACAUUUUUUUAAAAAGGCUGGUGUAUGUAGUAGAAACCCUCCCAAAAGCAAAACAAGUGGUUGAGUUCACGGAUAAAAUUCAGCAACAAGCUUCAUCAAAUUUGGCAGACCUGGAAAAUGCCGGUCCAAACUCUCGGCUACGAUGCCAGAUAAAUAAUUUAAUGUAGGAAACUUCAACAGAAAAAUAAGGGCAAUGUGCAAGAGAUAAAAGAAGGGUAAAGUCUCAUAAAAAAGAUCGAACGGGUUAGUAAGGAAUACGCGUGUAUAUUAUAAUAAGCAAAAGGGGCUGUUAACUAUAACCUACGUGCCAAGAACACAGAAUGCAAUUGCUGAUUCUUAGCUUAACACAGAAUGAAAUUGCUGAUUCUUUAGCUAAGAAUGCUCGAUCUUUUCAUAGAUCUUUUUAUUUUAUUGGAUGUUCUAUUCCGAUCUAGUUAUCCAGACCACCUCAUGUUUGAGUAAUAGAAUAACCGUUUGUUGAAAAAAAAAAAAACUAUAAUUCGUUUGGGUUUAUAAAUAAACAAAAAAGUUUAACUAUGGUUAGUUUGAGUUUAUAAAUAAAGAAAGGAAGUCUUGGUUUUCGCUGUUGAAAAAAUCUCAAAAUCCACCGACUAAUAUAAAAGACCACAAGUUGUGAUUAAGCACCUUGAUUAACACAUUAACUAGGAAAUGAACAAAACCAUAUUAUUGAUGUAAUAGAUGAUAACAAAUUGUUAAUAAAAAAGAAGAAGAUGAUAACCAAAAUGCUGUGGAGUUGAACAAACAAAAAAGAGAACUCCAAGAAGAAAAAGCUUGAAAGCAUUUGAAGAAAAUGAUGUAUUGUCCUUAAUAUCAUAAUUAUCCAUGGUUAAAUUAAUAGGUGAUUACCAUCUCCAAAUAGAUGAGCAUUUAGUGGUGACAAAAAAAUAUGAUAAUAAAGUAAUAUACACAAAAGAGAUACACUAGAACAUCCAUCAAGGACUUGCAUACUCUGAAUUCUAAAGUGUCUAUAAGCCAGGUGGUCAAGAAGUUAACCAAAGACGGUUAUGGUCUAAGGAAUGUAGAGAACAAUUUUUAAUUAAAUUUAUAUUAUCAGUUUAUUUAUUCUCCCGCCCGUAUGACGGGUUUACCCUAGUAGUUAAUAUUUAAAAAUAAAAAUAGUUUUGCGCGUAGCGCCGGUUAACUUCUAAUAUAUAUAUAUAUAUAUAUAUAUAUUAUAAUGGGAAAAUUUACACUCUCCUGAGAGUAUCCACAUUAGCAUUUGUGGGUCCCACCUGAAAAAAUAUUUUUGUGUUUUAAAUGACAAAUUUUGUUGUUUAUGAUAAUUGAUUUAUUUGUGAUUUUUAUUUUAAUAUAUAGAAGUUUAAAAAAAUCCGUAGCCCAAUAUGCUAAAUCCCGAAAAUGGCCCAAAUAAGCCUUUUAGGUCUAUAAUCUUCCUCUUCAAUGGAGAUCUAGAGCUUCCAUCGGGUAAUAAUCUCAGAUGCUCUUAAUGAGGCAAAAAAUAUUCUGGCAUACUCUUACGAAUUAUGGCGUACUCUUGUCUAUUCUGAUACUCUUUAGGAGUGUGGUUAAUGUCGAAAGUGCCCCUGACCGAUUAAAAAAUAAAUUCAAUUAAUUAAUAAUUCUUCUUCUCUCUCUAUUCUCUCGAGGCUCCACUGCCCUCGAACCCGCCCUCAAUCCUCUCUCGUCCUCGUCGUGGUGUUCUUCCGAGUUCCUCGCUAUCAUCGAAUUGCUAACUCGGUUUCGUCGCUUGGAUGCUGAAUCAUUGACCUAUUGAUUCUGUUUUGCAGGGUAUGUCUCAAAUCCCAUCGUUUUAGAAGCGUCAUCCACCACUCAUAGACGAUUAACUCAAUUCACAGGGAUUCCGAUUUGGAUAUAAGAUUUCAUAUUUGUGUAUGAACUAGUCGAGGAUCUGAAAGUUUGGAUGGUCUGUUUAUUAGGAAAUUCGAUAAUCAACAACUGUAUAAUUGCAUGUCGGGAAUCAAAGCUGAUUACAAUUUGGAAUUGAAGACUCGAUUCGUAGUAAUGAAAAAUUUCUUAUUCAUUUGUGUAUAAGGAUCGGAAAGUGUGGAUGGUCUGUUUAUUAGGAAAUUCGAUAAUCAACAACUGUAUGAUUGAAUGUCAAAAUUGAAAGGACGAUUGAAUCAAAGAAAGCUGAUUACUAUUUGGUUUUCAGAGAAACAUCUAGAACUCUGAAACUUGGGGAAACUUGGUUAGAUUAUACGUGCUGAUUACUGAAAAAACUAUGCAACAUGGUAUAACGAAGUAUAACUUUAAUGGUAUAACUGUAUAACCAUGUAUAACUUUAAUGGUUUAAUUUUUUUAUAUUGCAGACAAUGUGUCUUUUUUCGACGAGCGUACACUUUGAUUAUGAUGGACAUUAUUCAAAGGCUGGAGAUGAUUAUGAAUGGAUUCCAACCGAUACUUGUUUCUAUGCUAUAUCCUUUAAGACAUCAUCAUUGAAGGAGAUCACUUAUUAAUUGUUGAAGGAGAGGAUAUGCAAGAAGAUGGGAAUAGAUCCGUUAACGAAGAAGCACAAUUUGGGUUACAUUCCAUUGGUAGUGGAACCUAAGAGGCAAUCAUAUAUUUUGGAUGAUGAAGAUGUGUUUGUUUAUCUAACAUCAGUGGAUAGAGAGCAAAGAAGAAGUAUUUUGCAUGUGGAAGACAUCCAAGAAUUGCAAAUAGUUCAAAUAACCGAGCAAUUAUCAAGAGUUGGAGAAAGCUCUUGUAGUAGGGAUUAUAGCGAGCGUGAGAGUGGAUAUGGAGAAGAAGAGAAUGUGGGCACUUGUUUGGAACACGAUGAACACCCCCAGAAGAAACAGAAGAGGAGUAGGUUGUAAACCUUUUGCUUUCAGUUUUGAUGUGAAGUAGGUUGUAAGCCUUUCGCUUUCAGUUUUGAUGUGAAGUAGGUUGUAAGCCUUUCGCUGCCAGUUUUGAUGUUUUUAUCGUAUGGGAACGCUGUGAGGUGAAAUUUGUAUUUGUGUGUUGUACAACCAAGUGAAUUUUUUUGUUUUUACUGGUAUAGCUACGAUAGGUAAACUGAGUAAUAUGAUUGUAAAUUAUAAACUUGUUAAUAAGUCAUGGAAGUAAUAAGAUAAAGUAAUAAGAUAAGAUGGUGAUUUAUUAUUAAAAUUAUGAUUUAAUCAGAAUUAUAAAAAUUUCAUUUCAUUGCUUGUUAGCAAUCAUUUAGGAAAUACACUGAGUUCUCAUACCUUUUUCGUUAAUACUCACCUCGUUACAUUUUAAAAUUUGCUAAUGGUAGGAAGUCAAGUUUAUGUGUACAUGAUCGUAUGAGAAAAUAACCAAGGAAACAUAAUAUAAUUGGUAUAACUAUAAAAUCAGUCAUUCAAGUAGAGUAUAACUAAUAUAAAUGGAAAUAAUUAAAAAGUACAACUUUGAUGUUUUCUGUAAAACUAAAAACUUGGUGAAACUUCGACCACGAAAAUCCUUGGAUAAAAUUUCCCGCCCAGCUUUUCGAAUUUUGAAUUUUGAAUUUCCCUCUUCCCAAUUUGAUAAAACCCCAAAAUCGUUUAAUCGAAGUAUUAAAGACCUCUUUUUGGGUUUUCCCCAUUCUCUAUCUUCUCCUUUCUAUCUCUUCCCUAAUUUAUCUCUCUCCCAUUCGAACUCCCCCCAACCCCGAGAGAGAAAUAGUGGAGAUGUCCGCUUCAUCUUCCACGACCAGUGGUCGGAGACGAGUACGAACUCCGGGAAUACCUAGUAAGUGUUGGUGCGGGGUGGGCAUCACCGAGCUCAUCUCCAAAACCAAUCAAAACCCAUAUCGCCGAUAUUAUCGGUGUAUCUAUGCGACGUCACUAAGGGUACAUCCGUUUAGCUUUUGUUAUUGAAGGCUUACUCGUUCUUGUUUUAAUGGUACGUUUAAUCCAUUGUAGCUUGAGAACGACAAUCACGUCUUCAAAUGGGUUGACGAAGCUUUCACCGAUGAGAUACAACAGUUGAACAACCAAGUUCGAAUGCUAGAAGAAGAAGUUCAAUUUCUCAAAGCAACAAAAAGGAGUGAAAGUGAACUCAGUGAAGGUCCCAAAAUAAUGGAGCCUAAGAUAAAGAUAUCAGGAGGUUGUGUUAUUCUUGCUGUCGUUUUAGUUCUAGGAAUUAUGAUGUACAAGAAGUAAUUCCUAAGAGACUUCCAACUACUUUCUAUUUUUUCUAAGUUUUUUGUAAGUUUCUCCUAAGUUUUGCGAAGUUGGAUAACUAUGUAGUUUGGACUAUCGAAAAAGUUUCUAUAAUUUUUACGAUGUUAGACAAUUGAGAAAGUGAAAGUAACACAAAGUCUGACCUAUUUAUACGAAAACGAAUUUCAACUUUGUCUAAGUUUUACAAAGUUGGACAAUUGAUCAAGUGAAAACACAAAUUUUUACCAGUUUAUACGAGCACGAACUUGUAGUUCAUCUAAUUUUUUCGAAGUUGGAAAUUUGAAAAAGGUAAAACCACGAUGUUUCACCAACAUUUGACAUAGUUUCACCAACAUUUAAACAAAGUUUCACCAAGUUUAAGACAAGUACGAAGAUGGAGAACAUUGAGAACAACAAGAUUUACAAAAGACCUACAGCCCCAUAUCGCUGAACAUAAGGGUCACUGCUUAGUAGCGACUGACUGAACUCCUCAACCUCCGGCAAACGCAGAUUGAACCUGAAGUCAGACAAUUCACCCUCGGUCUCAAGCCAUAGAUCUGGAGGACCAAAAUAACCUAUGUAAAUGAGUUUAGUAAACGUUUUACUCAACUAUCACUUACUCAAAAAUUUUGCUGAGAUCACAUACUCAUAAACUACACUUACUCAAAAAUUUCCAGACCCUCCACAUCUUAAGGACCACAAUCACCUGUCCACGACCCUUCAUGUUUUCAAGACCAUCCCGGAAGGCAUAAGCAUGAGUGCCAAUUGCCACACAUUUUAUCUGACUGUUACUAUUCAGAUAAAUUACAGUAUAGAUAAAUUUUGCAGUAUAGAUAAAUUUUGCUUUGAUCAUAUGUUACUUUCUACUUACAUGUUGUCCCUUAUGUAAAACACCAUCCUUGGAUUUGCAGGGUCAUCGAAAUGGGCUUCCGUGUUGAAGACCACUCCCAUUGUAUCUACCAGAUAAGUGUUACGUUUUCCUUAGUUUCAUAAAUUUAGACAAUCUAAAUCACUUAGUUUCACUUACUUAUACAUAGUUAUAUUUUUAAUACAUUAAAGCUAUACAAAGUUCCGAAUCCAAGACAUGUGAAUAUAUUUUAAUUCUAGUAGCAUUCAUACCUAUGGGAUAGUUUCGGUCCAUGUGGUCCAUGUGAGGGAUUGCAUGGAUGUUCUUGAAAUCCAUGAAAAGCCGAUUGUUCAGAGGAUCGAUGAUUUGGACUUGCGUAUUGCGCAUAGCAGAUAGAUUGAACCGAGAGUUAGUUUCCUGGAAACCUGGAUAGGAACAGUUAACUUCUACUCGAAAGAUUUCCACCCACUUUCCCUCUUGUUUCUCUAGGCCUCGAAACCUAUCAGAAUUCCCAUAAAUGGUCAUCUCCAUCUUAGUUCCCUACAUAAAUAAAGUACAAGGAUCAAGUUUUUAUUUUUCACGGUUACAUGCUAUUAGAAACUCGAGAGAUGAUGAUUUCACACGUACCUCUUCAUCUGCUAGGACAUAUUUAUAGAAAGGCCCACUGCUGGUAACAUAGGAAUAGAAAGGGUAGAUCCUGUGUAUUUUGACUCUGAAUCGCCAAGACGUGAUCUUAGGGUUAUGAGAAACUUCAGAAAGUUUAUUGUAGUGUGUCAUCUUGUUUGUUGAGAGAGGAGAUGAUGAAUCCUUUCUUUGCUUUUCUUUUUGGUGAAUUUUGCAGAGAAAUGUUAUAUUCGGACUGAAGAAGAAGAUUUAACUUACUUUCACUUAUAUUGCAGACUGUGGUGGAGUUAUAUCCCGACUGUGGUGGAGUUUAAAUGCAAUGGUAAUGAUGAUUGUAGACGGUGUAGUGUUGUGGCGUUUAAAUGCAAGUGUAAUUAUUAUUAUAAGAGACUUUUUCAUUCGAGACAUGCAGUUAUUUCGAGGAGUCCAUCAUUAUCAUUUAUUACAGGUUUUCCCCAAACUAAAUACUAACAUUUACAGUUAUUAUCUCCUAUACUGCUUGUUUCUGUCAUUAAAUAUAUCCACUACGUAUAAUAAGUUUUGAACACUGAUCAUUUCUAUCAAAAUAUAACAAGACACUAUCUAAAUUUUGUUAGGUUUUACAUAGUUUCAAAUAUAUAUACAAUCUAAAUUGUUACGUUUUUCUUAGUUUCAUUAAUUUAGACAUAGUUAUACAUAGUUAUAAAUCUUAUAAAUUCCAAGAGAUGCGACUAUAGGAGACAGAAGUCGUGUCUUCUGAACUCGUGUCUCGUCGCGCCGUCUCCCCUUAAAUGGAAGAGUUACAACUUGUAGAAUAGUUGGGGUAAUAAAUUGAGAAUUAAAUAACAUGAAAUAAAGUUACAAAAUAUUAGUAUUUUUAUUUAUUAAAUAACAUGAAAUAAAGUUACAAAAUAUCUCAUUUUCUUAACGUUUUACAUAGUUUCAUAUAUUGAGACAAUCUAAAUUUUUAAAAUUGUGCUUAGUUUCAUGAAUUUAGAUAAUCUAAAUCAGUUACUUUCACUUACUUAUACACAGUUAUAUAUCUUUAUCGAUUAGAGUUUUUCAAAGUUUCAAAUCCAACCCAUGCGCACUGAGAAGUCAUGUCUUCUGAACUCGUGUCUUCUCGAGGCGUCUAUCAAAUAACCCUUAAGUGGGGUAAUAAAUACUCAGUUUAUAUUUUUCUCUACACGUCAGUUGAACUUCCAUACUACGUGUAUUUCGGUUAGAGGAUCAUCCCCAUUAUAAAAGGGUUUAUCACCUUCUCCAAAUAAGUAAAACGAAGAUCUCUCCAUUUACUUGAUUAAACAAAUAUCUCUCCAUGUCGAACAGUAACUUGGCUUCUCUCCCUCCUUCCAUGCUUCAUAAAAUUCUCUCAAAGGUAGCAACAAGCCAUCUUUGGGACUUCGGCAGUCCAAGAAUUGCUUUCUCCGAGUUCAAUGAAAUUGGCAGAGAAGAAUACUUCUACCGAUCUGCAGAUCUCUUUAACUUGAAUGACUGGAUUGAUGAGGCUAAUGCUUUAAGGACAUUCAGGCUUAGGUGCUACCAAGCCGGUAAUCUAGAGGCUAUCUACAUGCGAGGUAUGUAUGAGUUCUUCGUCCUCCAUUUACUUGAUGAAGGAAGGAGAAAAAUCCGUCUUGCUGGUGAGAGAGGAUUGUUGUGGGCCAAGUAUGUAGAUGGAAUGCUGAACAUAGCGUUUAGUGUUGAUGCUAGAGGAUUUGUUCACAACUAUCCUAGCUUUAGUCAUGAAUUUGUUGAUCGGAUGAAUUAUAUGAUCACGACUUCGUUAUCCUCAGGCCAUUGGGGUUACGAAAAACCUGAAGUGUUUAUGUCUCUACUGGAAAGAAUAAAUCCCAAAGUCUCACAUGAUUGUUGGUGCUCCGCAGUAAUAGAACCGGUGUUUGUAGUCUCCUUAGAUGGAUCUAGAACACGGUGAACAUGCAAUCGUUGUUUCUGGCAAUGUGCAGCUUGGGACUUCUGCAAUGAAAUUCACUUGACCGCUGGUCACUGGCCAAUUGAAGAUUAGUUGUGUGUUUAUGAGUUAUGGCAUGUACUUUUUAUCUACUUUUACUAGGUUUAUGUAAAAUACAUUUCAUAUAAUAUAAUGUCUAUAGUUUUUCUCUAUAAAGUAAUCUUUAUUUAUUAUUAACAACACUGUUUCCAUAAAAGAAUAUAAUGCAAAUGUAAAAGAUACAAUCAAAACUAGUUGAACUUUGCAAAUCAAAAAGUGCGACUUAAUUCAAUUUAGAAUAACUUUGUAAUUGAUACAAUUUAUAUUAGUUGUAGUCUUAUACGCUGCACAGUUACACCAAAAUUUACAAUUACACCAACUCGUACAAAGUUGUCGAAAGUUAUGAAGAAAGAGAUCCGAAUUUUAUGGAUCGGGUCUGGAUGGUCCGCGAAAUGGUCCUGGUUGGGUUGUAAAUAUGCAAAAUUCUGUUGGUUCCGUGGUCUUUUAAUAAUUUUUCGGAUUUAAUUAAAGAUUUAUCUAUUUUCUAGUCCGGGCAGCUUCGGGCAGGAGUAUAUGAGAAUUUUUUUUCCGGGCAGGAGUACUGGAGCAAUUGAUUCGCUUCCAUCGCCUCAGACUCCUCUUAGAUAUACAAGUGACCCUUUCGUUUCCAUAAAGCAGUGAAUCUUUUUUUACCUCUACAUCUCCCCAUCUUUAUUCGGUUCAUCAUUAAUGGCUCUGACUCAUCUUAUAUGUGGGAUCAUGACGCAUCGUUUUCUUGGAAGAAAAAAGAAUCAUCGUGACUCAUAGCUUUAUGUCAUCAAUAUCAGUUAGAAACAUGAUUUUGGGAUUCUAAUCAUCUGUCAAACCAUCCGAGCAUUUAAAAUCCAAUACAAGGUUUUGGGCAAUCAUCUCUGUUCUUCUCGAUGUAGCUUCAAUGGUGAUCUACCCGGCACAAACAAUAUUUAUCUCUAUAGUCGGAUGGUGAAUCGGAGGAGAAACUCAAGUAUUGCUAUUGGAGCUACGCUUUCUGCUGAUGAUACUCAAGUGGUUUAGUCGGAGAUGCAUUGGCUCAAACCGUAAAGAAUCUUGCGUAUGUCACAGCUGUUAUGGUCAUCCCGUUAGGGUUUAGGGAUCAAUUGGCUUUCAUUGGUCUCGCGAUGCUUCUGCUGAUCUGGCUUAAUGGUUAUAUCUACAUGAAGUUCAUGGGCGUCUUGAGCGCAUAUGCAAAGGUGAGAAUGUAUAAGAAAUCGAGCCAAGUGGCUAACGAGGCGGUCAGGAGUAUAAGAACGAGAAAGUGAUGAAAGUAUAUAAGAAGAAAUCUGAAGGUCCUAAUAGAAUAAGGAAUCGUCAAGGCAUAGCAUAGUUAGUGGUACCGUUUUGUAGUUGCUUUCUUCAUCCUCUUCGCAUCUUACACCGACAGUUUAUAUGCAGAUGCAAUGCUAAUGGCAAAGCAACGCUCGAUUAUCCUUUCCGGGUUUUCCUUGCCUUCACCAUGGAAGCUAUAGCUCUUUCUCAUUCAAAUUCACUAUCUCCCUGAUUCAAGCAAAGCUACCAAUGCAGCUGCAUCCAUCGUCACAGUUAUAAAGAAAAUCUAACAUUGUUUCAAGUGAUGCAUGUGAGAGAGUGCUCGAUAAUCUUAACGGAGAUUUGAACUUUGUCAUAUCAGUUUAUCCUUCAGAUCCAGAUGUCUAGAUCUUCUGGGAUCUUUGUUUGUCUAUUUGUGCCAGAAAGGUUAUACCUUGAUCUUAAACACGUUUUCAGUUUGGUCGAAUGAAAACCAAAUAUUUCAGUAAGAUACAUGCAAAUUAGUUCAGAUCAAAUAUGAUUUAAUAUUUUCACUAUUGCAUCAAAUACUGUCUUGAUCUGCCCCUUUGUUUUACUCUCUGUUUCAAACAAUAACUUUGGUUAGAAAGAGCCCAGGCGGGAAAUCUACUGUAAUUGCACUGCUGCAGAAGUCUUUCGAUCCUGAUCAUGUCAGAUCAGUCUUGCGGAGUAGAGAGUAAGACCUCCAGCCGAAAUGGGUAAGGCAGAAAACCUGGCUGGUCAGCGAAGAAUCGGUUUUGUUUUAUAUCCGAUCAGUGCAAACAUUUCUUAUGGAAAAGGAGACGCUUCUGAAACCAAUAUCGCAGAUAAGCUAUCUAACGCUCAUGGAUUCAUCCGUGGACAUCAACAGGGAUAUUAUACAGUUGGUGGGUGUAAGAGUUCAAUUAUCAGGUGGGCUAAAGAAGAGUAGCCAGAGAAAUUGUUAAAGACCCAAUGGUGUUGCUCUGAUGAAGCAACAAGUGCUCUAGAUGCCGAGUCAUAGCCAUAGCCAGAACAAUUUUUAAAGAUGGUGUUGUUGCUGAAUGUUUCAGAAUAGGUGGGAGCUUGUGCUGGCGGUGCUACUUAUUUUGGUUCCAACCGCUGCAUGAAAAUGGAACCAUGGACCAAGGUUAAUCUAGCAUUCGAGAUAUUUUUAGCUGUCUUUUACAAGAUUCAUGGAUUCACAAAAAACUAAUUUGCAAACUACACAACUGUUUUUAUCUUCAUGUGUUAAUUGCCGUUCUUAUUUCCCUAUUUGACUAUAAAACAUUGAAACUGGAGGCCGAUAGUCAACAUUCUUCUUUCACUAUUAAACUUCAACUGCUUAUACCUAUCAACUCAUCAAUGAUUUACAAAUUACAAUUGUCAUGUUCAGGACUGGUCAUGGUAUAUGCAGGCCCUUAUUGCCAUAGAUUGAUUGCUCACCAUUUCAGGUUACAAGGAACUCAGUAUCAUCUUCAUUCAGAGCUUUGGGUGGUCCUAGAAAUCCAAUUCAAAGAAGGGUUGAAGAAACAAUAUAACAAAAAGUACAAAACAAAUUUUCUCACUCAAGAAAAAAAAUCAAAGUUGUUGCAAACUAUCGAUUACAGCUUGAGAAAUAACUAAAAAGGUAACCAGUUCUCACCAAUAUAGCUAAACCCAAAUUUAAUAUAUCUAUUACUCCAUAUAAAAAACACAAUCAAAUUUAAUAUAUCUUCCCGCUACAAGAAACCGGCAAGAUCACCACCAACUGUUCAGUUACGUUCUUUAUUGAGGCAGUCCCGGUGAAGAUCUAAACCGUACAAUUUUUUUUUUCCGGGAAAAACAUUUACCACUACAUUUUUCGGCCGUACAGGCCCAACAAACAAUUAAAUCAAACGUAUUGAUUUUCAUUACAAUUUUUCUUUUAAAAAAAACUAUUUCCAAGACCGGGAAAAAAAUCUUAUAUAUUAAAAUAGAAGUUAUGAGUUCUCAUUUAUGUGUGAUUUAAAAAAAAAAAUAGACUAUCUACUAGAGUUGGUCACAUUACAUUUUCAAUCAUUAGUAAUCUUUAUAUUAAAUAAAAGACAUUAAUAAAAAAUAUUUUCUAGAGACAUAUAAAUCUAUAAAUCUCUAUGCGCUUAGAUAUAACUCUCUAUAACUCACGAGAGUUUGUGGUUUUCAUGUAAAGUUUGAAAUGAACAGACGUCUUCCCAGAUUAUUUGUUUAAUCAUUGUGUUUUUGUAGUGUUGUGUUUGCAGACAAUAUUUACUAAAGAUUAUUUGAUUGUAAGCUCUGAACAUAUGUUAAUAAUUUACUGAACACAUUGAUUAGUGUGGAGAAGAUGAAGUUGGUCCAUUGUUAACGUCCAUUUAUGUUUUUGAAGUCAAUGAAAGCAGAAGACAAUAUUAAAAUAAUGGUCGCUUGAUACAAUUACGUUCAUUUAGUUGUCUUACCAUUUACUAAAGAUUAUUGGAUUGUAAGCUCUGAAACUAUGUUAAUAAUUUACUGAAGACAUUGAUGCAUUUGGAGAAGAUGAAGUUGGUCCAUUGUUAACGUCUAUAAGAAAUUUAGAAUAUCUACAUUCAGUUGCAACAAUAGAUAUCUACAUCUAUUCUGUUAACAAUUCAAAUUAUAUAAAGAUUAAUUCCUAUUCUGAUUAUAACUAAUCAAAGCAAUAUCUACUUUCAAAGAAUAUAUAAUUUUCGUGAGUGUACUAACAUAUAGGAUAUUCUAAGCAUUUAUUUUAAAGCUUGGAGAUCAAGCUCACAUAUUUAUUGUUGCCCUGACCUUCUCAAUUUGUUUCCUAUAUUUUCGAAACAGAAUCACGUAAAUUUUUUUUAUUUUCCAUAACAACCUAAACAAUAUCAUCGAUCUAAUAUACUUGAUACCAGAUUUACAAUGAAUAUAUCAAUAUCUACAAUAUAGGUAACUAUAACAACCGAUUCUUAAUAUCCUAUAUCUUAUAUAUUAAAACAGAAAUCACAAACUUGAUUCAUGUGUGAUUUUUAAAAAAAUGAACCUAAUAAAUCUAUUUCUAGAAAGUCAUGUUACAUUUAAUAUCUAAUCUUAUCAUUUAAAUUUUGGG